rnacentral:rRNA from 1 species
CAAUAGCGUAUAUUAAAGUUGUUGCGGUUAAAAAGCUCGUAGUUGGAUUUCUGCUGAGAACGACCGGUCCGCCCUUUGGGUGUGUAUCUGGCUCUUUCUUGGCAUCUUCUUGGUGAACGUUGCUGCACUUGACUGUGUGGAGCGCUACCCAGGACUUUUACUUUGAGGAAAUUAGAGUGUUUCAAGCAGGCAGACGCCUUGAAUACAUUAGCAUGGAAUAAUAAGAUAGGACCUCGGUUCUAUUUUGUUGGUUUCUAGAGCUGAGGUAAUGAUUAAUAGGGAUAGUUGGGGGCAUUCGUAUUUAACCGUCAGAGGUGAAAUUCUUGGAUUUGUUAAAGACGGACUACUGCGAAAGCAUUUGCCAAGGAUGUUUUCAUUGA